AUUGAACGCUGGCGGCAUGCCUUACACAUACAAGUCGAACGGCAGCACGGGAGCAAUCCUGGUGGCGAGUGGCGAACGGGUGAGUAAUAUAUCGGAACGUGCCCAGUCGUGGGGAUAACGUAGCGAAAGCUACGCUAAUACCGCAUACGAUCUAUGGAUGAAAGCGGGGGAUCGCAAGACCUCGCGCGAUUGGAGCGGCCGAUAUCAGAUUAGGUAGUUGGUGAGGUAAAGGCUCACCAAGCCGACGAUCUGUAGCUGGUCUGAGAGGACGACCAGCCACACUGGGACUGAGACACGGCCCAGACCUCCUACGGGAGGCAGGCAGUGGGGAAUUUUUGGGACCAAUGGGCGCAAGCCUGAUCCAGCAAUGCCGCGUGCAGGAUGAAGGCCUUC
rnacentral:rRNA from 1 species